UACUCGAUCCCUCCGUCCCAAAAUUCUUGUCUUAGAUUUGUUUAGAUAUUAAUGUAUUUAGUCAAGUUUUAAUAUUUAGAUACAUUUAUUUUUAAACAAAGUUAAGAUAAAAAUUUUGAGACGGAAGAAAUACAUA
rnacentral:pre_miRNA from 1 species